AGAAUAGCCCCCUUCAAGAGACAAGAAACUAUGCUGUCCGGGUCUGAGGGGUUAUCUGCAGGAAAGCUAUUCAUACUUUCCAAAGUCCUUGGGAGGAGCAUUGGCACGUGGCUUCUGUGCCUCAAACAGGAGCUCAGCACCGUGAGAGCUGAGAUACUGAUCAUGGCCCACUCUGGGCUCAAAGCCUUCUAAGGAGAUGAAAUUACGUAGACAGAGGUCUGAUUCUGGCCAUGCCUCUACUUUCAGCCCAUGGUUUGGAGUGGGUACCUAUACCCAGUUAUCUGAAUCUGAAUCUAGGCUUUGCUGUCAUUAGACUAGGAACAGCCCAUGCACCUCAGUUACCUCUGGGGACUUGUGAAACAUUGGAGUUUCUUUUGCAUAAAGGCUCAGGGUAGGAGGAAAGCAAGCUGUAAUCGGCUUCAGUGUGGAGAGGUAUAUUCGUCUCUCAGAACUAGGCUAGGAAGGUAGUGUGGAAGGAUGCCUGGGGUCUUACUUGCCCCCAGGAGACACAUGGGCCUCCCAGGCUGCCUGACAUACAGAUAUAGUCAGAUCCUGGAUGCUCGGGGCAGCGGUGGAGGGGGUCUGAGCCAGGUGAAUUGUGCUGGAUCCUACUAAAUUCCAAACAGGGCAGAUAGGGUCUGCGGGACAUGGACAAACUAUGUAAUCUGAGGUCCCAAUAGGUUUCUGGGUGCUGCAGGUAGUAUUCAGUAAGUAGUAGCUGUUAUGACAACCCCCCAUGGUCCUUUCCUGUUUGAUCUUGGGAUCCUUAUUUUUGGCUGCUAGGGUCUGGGACACAAUGUCUUCAGUAUAAAUGGGAUAGAGUAGUGCCCGCUUCAGUUUCAAACAUCCACUGAGAGGUUGGGAGUCAGAACAUAAUCCACGUGUUGUAUUUCUAGCAGUAACCAGAGCAUCAGUAGUCUAGGUGGGAGCAGGAGAUGGAGCUAGGCUGGCUGCUUGGUCUUCAGGCCAGUGUGGUGCAGUACAAAGAUAAUUCAGGGAUUUGAAUUCCCCGCCUCUGUGCUACAUAAAGUCUGAAAGCUUCUGCGGAGUCCCUAAGGAGAACCUCAUCUUGUAUAGUUCUUGAGAUUGUUGAAAAUAAAAUGCAGAGUCCCAUCCUCCAGUUAUCCGGAGAGACGUUGAAGUCCAGCUUUUCAGGAAGCUUUGGGAGUGAGAACACUGCUUGCAAAAGAAUGGGAUCCUGUACGUUGGAAUGGAAGAUUCCAGGGAAGCAGGGGUAUUGAGCGCCUGAAUUCUCAGUGAAAGAGGUGGUGUCCUCAGUGGGCUAAUCCUGGGUUCUGAGCAUGAGUUAAGGUCAGCUGUGGUGAAGUCCCUGAGGUACCUAAGGACUGUGCCUGUCCUUAGGUCAGCAUGUAGACAGCCCCUGGGUACUAAGGAUGCAUUUUGGCCAGGGUGGGUCAUCUCCUACUUGCUGGAGCUACACAUGCAUAGGUUGCAGAGUGCAAGUGGUCUUUGAGGUACUGCCCUUGUCCUCAAGCCAGAUUGUGGCACAGGGCUUGAAGUGGCAAAUGUAUGAGGUACCCCAUGGUACUGGGCUUUAAGUAGACUAGCCUGGAAUUGUUCCUUUGGAUACUGGGCCUUCCAUUGGAUGCAUUGUGCACAUGGCCACCUGGGUAUUGACUCUAACCUGAAAAGCAUGCAGAUGGGCUCACAAGUACCAGUCAAUACUCUGGUGGACAGUUCUCAGCUGGCCCCCUGGGUACUGGGGCCUAACAUGGAGUUCAGUGUGCUAGUGGCUCCCAGGAUAAGGUACCUGAAUUCAGCAAUGAGGCAGUUCCCAUAGGUAAUGGGCUAGCCUUGAGGACAUACGUGGAUAACCCUCUUGAUAUUGGGUCUGCCCUAGGAGCAAUGUAAGUUCAACAGCAUUGUUACUGGUCCUCACUGUUUCCAGCAUGAGCGCAGCCCUCAGUGUGCUUGUCCUUCCUUCCAUGAAGUAAGUAUAGAAGUCUUCUGGGUACUGAGCCUACAUUAGGGAGCAUCCUGUUUAUCUGGUCUUCCUGGAUACUGACCCUUCCAUGACCAUUAUGAUACGAUAAACCCCCUUUGGUAAAGGCUUGUCCUAGGGGGAGGGGGACUGUAUUCAAGCAGGUUCCUGGAGAUGAGCCUUUUCUGGGAUCCUCUUACAAGAAGCCCCCAGAGAACUGGACCUAUACUGUGAGCACUGUAAGGGAUGUCUCUGAGUACUGGGAAUGUCCUUAGGAUGUCACUGUAGGCAGCUGCUUAGGUAAUGUUCCUGUACUUGGGACAGCAAGUGUGAUGCCACAUGGGUAUGGACCUGACCCUGUCCAGCAACCUGAGGGAUGUCUCUAUGGUGGGUUAGAAGCCCAGACCCCUGUGUGCUACACUCAGAUCUAUGGUAGGCACCCAGGUUGUUCUCCAUUUCACUGUGGACCUUCUUUGAUGUGUCACUGGACUUUUCAGGCUGUAUUGCUUAGUGUCAGCUACUACACAUUGUUUCCCUUUUAGUUUUGAUUUCUCACAAGAUCUGAAGUGGAGAGGAGUGGUGGUGGUGGUGGUUCUGUCUUUGGGUUUGACAGAGACUUUCUCUCUUCAUCUAGGUGGACUUAUUUACUCAGGAGUCAGGGUGCUGGAAGCUCAAGGUCAUACAAAACUUUCAGUGGCUCUAGGUUCUUGUGUGAAUUUGAAGAAUGAAAUUCAUGGGACAGAGAGGGUGAGUUUUAGAAAAGAGUUGUAUUACUGGCUGCUUAGGAGAGAGAAGGCAGAGCUACUGGAUAACAGGAGCAGGUUCCAGGAAUAGUGCCAUCAAGGGGUACCAUCAAGCACCUGCUAGUCUGGCAGCUUUUUAUAGGAUCAACAGCAGGAAGUGGGGUGAGGCAUGAGCGGUCACACAGUUGGCACUGGUUACACAAAGAGGAGAGAAGAUGACAGGAAACCAGGACUUCCUUCUGGCAUUUCUGGACUCUGGCCAAGGACAGAACUGCAGAUAGGAUCGCAGACCUUCUGGGAACUGCUGUUCUUUAGUGUCCAUGCCCUAAAACUGCCUGGCUAGUUUUACUUCACAUUUUCAUCAUUCCAGACCAGCCUUCUGAAGAGGUCACCCCAGCUGCUCUUUGCAGUGUAGGUGAUGGUGAUCUUACUGUUUCCUGCUUGAGUGGAGUUGUUUGGUGCGGCAGUUGGAGUGUCCCACCAUGGACCUUUCUAAGGGACCUUGAUAGUACAUCACCAAGGCGCAUCAAACUGAGAGAAGUGCCUGCUGUUACCUGUGCCAACCUGAGAUCCUCCUUGACCAGGGGUACGGGUUGCCAACUGUUGAAAGCCUCUGCCGGCAGGCAGUAAGUGUGUACAUGCAAAGUGGAAGCAGACAAUCUGAAGAAUCAAGUGAGUGUCCUCCUCCCUCAAAAGAGAGGAAUUUCAGGCUAAUACAAUGUUGGCUAUUUCCAGCUAGAUCCCAUGCUUUCCAUCCUCCAGGAUAAAUGUGACCAGGCUCAAGUGCACAGAUCUGUGUCUGGUUUCUCCUUUGUCUUUCCAUCAUCAGGGAACCCCCUGAUGGUUCUCCCUUCAUUAGCCACCUUGAAGAAAGGAAGUGCCUCGUUCCAACUCCCCUUCCCAAUCAUGUAUGUAUCAUGUACAAUUAGAGAUAACUAACAUUUUUGGAUAUGUUAGAGUCUUAGAUCAUGUAAAAACAAAGUCUUAGAUCCAAAGAGAGCCAUGAGCUAGAACUGAUCUGGAUACUUCUUCCCUCAGAACUAGCCUUCAUGGUACCAGGAGGUGCAUGUAACUUCCAAAAAAGGGAAGGAACCAACAGUUGUUCCAAACUAUGACUACAACAAUAUGAACUAUAGCAACAAUCAGCAUGACAUUGAUAACUCUAAAGGUGCGGUAGUACAUGCAUACUCUGGCAGUCAUCAACAGCUCUCUAAUCUGGACUUAAGACUUCCCUGCUCAACCAGAGAGAAACCAAGCCUGGUACUGGAAACCUAGCCAAGGACACAAAGCUAGUCAUGGAUCUUGGAGUACAAGAACCUAUGUCUGCUACUUUAUUAAACUAGCAUAAUCCCUAACAUUCUAAAUUUUUGUUCUUGUAUGCACAGUUAAGUAUAGCCCUCAUCCUUCCUCAAGGAAAUUUCUCUUUGCAACAGACAGAGACCAUUCUAGAAAACAGCAACCAAUCAAAAUGCAAGGAUGUGAAGCUCAGCCCCAAAUGGGUACACCUACGAAACAACUCCUGCACCUAUGGCUCAGGAAACAUUGCAGAAGAGGGAGUGGAAAGAUUGAAAAGCAGGAGAAUCAUGCAGUUUGCUGUAAACUGUGUCUCCUAUAAAUGGUGGAAGCAACACCUAUAAAAAAUCAUCAGCAUUGCUGUCUAAACAUGAACUGAACAAGGAUUCCAAGUCCAGGCAUGCUGUUGUAGGUGGGUAAAAACUCAUAAUGUGCCGGUCGUGGUGGCGCACGCCUUUAAUCCCAGCACUUGGGAGGCAGAGGCAGGAGGAUUUCUGAGUUUGAGGCCAGCCUGGUCUACAGAGUGAGUUCCAGGACAGCCAGAGCUAUAAACAGAAACCCUGUCUCGAAAAGCCAAAGAAAAACAAAACCAAAACCAAAC
rnacentral:lncRNA from 1 species